CAGGAAAUUGUGGGUGCUGGUGGGAAGGCGGUUUGGGGAGACCCAGCGGAAAUUGGGAAGGUUUUGGAAGGGGCAGCGUUUGAUGCGGUGUUGGAUAAUAAUGGCAAAGACUUGGACACUGUCAGACCUGUUGCAGAUUGGGCCAAGAGCUCUGGUGCUAAGCAGUUUCUGUACAUCAGCAGUGCUGGAAUAUAUAAGCCAACUGAUGAGCCUCCUCAUGUUGAAGGGGUAUGUACUAUGUAAUAUAUUUAUGUUGUCAAAUCCAACAUACAGUUGCUUAUCCGACCAUCUAUAUAAAAUAUCUGUGUUUGUGUGUAUAUAUGUAUGUGUUUUUAUUCAGCCAUUUUCUCUCUCUCCCCUAUAGCCGCCCAAACUUCACCCAUUCUUUCUCUCUCUCACCUGCCAUUUCUGUGUGAUUUUUGGGUAUGUGUGUGUAUAUUUGAACGACGAGCAAAGCCAGAUCCGACUACCAGCAACAACAACGACAACUGUGGCUCCCUCCUCUAGCACCCAGCGAUCGGCCGUUGUCGAGAGCUCGUGCUUUGUCAUGCUUCCCGCUCCAGGUUUCCAUCUCUACCUUUCUCCAGUUUUUGUAUAUAUAUUCGGUUUCUGGCUCUAUUUUUUAUCUCUAUAUGCAUAAUCUAGGCACAUUUUCGUCUAUCUACGUCUCUGAUUGGAAGAGACUGUUUCUAGGGUUCGAAGAAAAACGAUCUCUAUAUGCAAAAUCUAUGCGCGUUUUCAUGUAUGUACGAUUCAGGGAUAGUUUUCACAUAUUUGUUAAUGGGUAUAUGGUGAUUUGUGGAUUUUGGCUUCUACAUAUGUUGCUCACACGAAAUUUUGUGAUCAAUUUGUGUCCUGUGGGUAAAAUGAUAAAGUUCGCAGAAUAGGUUACAUAGAAAAUUUUUUUAUUUUUUGACGUGAUAAUCUAAGUUGUUGUUGUUUGAACGGUGCAUGUCCUAAAAAAAUAGAUGGAGUAGUCUUAAAGAUACAAAUUUUGAAAAAUUUGUAGGAACAAGUAAAAGAUCUUAAGAAAUUAACACCAAUCUUCAUUAGCACUCUCACAUGAAUUUGUUGCGAUCCAGAUUACAAGUAGGCAUUGCUGGACCAAAUCACUAAAACUUUGAAGUUCAUAAUAUUAGACCAACUUAGAUUUUGGACUCUGUGAUAAUGCGGCACCGUAGUGGAGGAUAAUUGUCAGUACGAGUAUUUUAUAUCCAUUUGUAACAAUCUGUUGGGCUAUUGAGAAUAAUUGUCACACUGUCGGAGGCAUUUCAUAAUUGCCAGUUUUUUCCCAUUUCGUUUUUUCAUUCUGAUUUGUGUUAUUUGAUUCUGGUUGAAUUCAGUUCAUUCACUAACUUCAUCUGAUUGUUAUUUCAUGUGUCAACUCUAGAUUUUUGGAGUAAGCUAAUUUUUUAAUUACAUGUAAAAAUGGGACUAGAAGUUUAGCUUAUGUUAUCUAUCUAUUGCUAGAGUAUGGAAUUAUAUGAUUUGUCCGCUUAAUAGAUUUUUGUAAAUGUCCAAGUUGCUUCCACAAUCAUUGAUUUCUUUUUAUGAUAUAGAUCACCUGUUUUUUGUUUUUGUUUUCGGUCAAUGAGAAGAAGAUUUGCCUUUUUUUUUAAAUUUCUUUUCCAUCUGAGAGUUAAAGUUUCCAAGAAAAUAAAAAUAAUAACACCACAAUCAAUCAUAGUGGUGCUCUAUAUAUGUAGUUUGUAUUUUCCAUGGGAUUGCCUGCCAAUUGGAGGAACUUGGUGUCGAUGGUGGCCACCGUGGAAACUAGAAGGGAAGGUACGGACGACCCUAAACUCUUUUUUUUUUUUUGUUAAUUAAUUAUUGGACUAAAUCUCCGUACCUUACCAUACUAUACAUGGUUCUUUUUCUUUCUUUUGUGGCUAUCUUUUCGAAUUUUCUCCCUCUCAGAUUUGGUUGCUAAUACUGUUUGCUUAGUUGUAAUUAAUUGUAUUAUUAUAUCUCCAAAAAGGAAACUUCCUAGAACUUUUUAAAUUAUUUAUUUAUUUAUUUAUUUUGAAUUUGAUUAUGCAAGUUCUAAUUUCUAAGUAAAUAAAUUUAAUUACUCAAAAAGAGGGUCUCCAAACAUCCUAAUCAAAUUGGCAUGCAUGCUCAUGGGGGUUGAGAAUAGACUUUAAUUAUUUGCAUGCUUGGAGGAUGACAAUUAACAUUCAAGUGGUUUAUUAUAUAUAUAUAGUAAUUACAUUACAUGCUAUGUGGGUACAGCUGCCUUAAUAUGCCCUGAAAGCUACACAACUCCCAUUUAGAAUAGGAACAGGCAUGCCAAUAUGCCAUGCCAUUGCCAUUGCCAUUCAUUCAUUAAUGUGACUGCAACUUUAAGUUAACUCACUUGGGUUUGGGUUAGAUGAUGAUGAAGAUGUGUAGCUUUCAGGUGUUGGUAAGGAAAAAGAUCUAUUAUUCACUCCAAACCUUCAAGACUCAGUCUCCCUUCUAAUUAAUAAAUAAAUAUGCUCUUUAUUUGAUGCAUAGAAUAGGUGGUGUUAAAAAGGAGCGCAAUUUAACUUAUAGGUUGUUUCAGGAGUUCAGAGGAAUUCAAUGUUUACAUGGCUUGAAUUUUGUAUGGAUGAACACAAAUCUAACUUUCCGUUGAUUGGAUCUGAAUUUUUGAUACGUGAAAUUAUCAUUAAUGCAUAUAUUUUAUCUUCUAGAUUUGUAGUUUGUUUUAGGAGUUUAGAAAAAUCUAACGUUUACAAUCUUGAAUUUUGUGUCAUUGUAUGGAUGGGUGCAGAUUUUGUUUUGAUGAUUUAGUGUCUUCUUCUUCUGCCUCCCAACUCAAGCCGUUGGUUAAGAAUUUUAAUAAAUUGGAGUCCGCUCCUAAUUAUUCUCAAGAAGAAGAUGUGCAUUUGGGGGUUGCACAUCAGAUGUACAAGGCUGGAAGUUAUAAGCAAGCUCUGGAGCACUGCAAUGAUGUUUAUGAGAGCAACCCACUAUAUUUAUAUUAUUAGGUCUCUUAAUCUUCUGCAUUUUUAAUUAGUUUCAAAAACUCAAUUUUUUCUUUUCAUGGUGUUGUCUCUUAAUCUAGAAAGUGAUCAACUUCUUUUCUUUAGUUUCUUUUCUAUCUUUUUAUGCAAUGCUCUUUCUUAAUAUUCCAUUUAGUUUGCUAGGACAACGGUUUCUCAUAUAAUU